CGGCCCUCAAAUGAUCUUGCGCAUGUCAAGACGUGCGGCGCGGUUGUUUUGGCGUGCCCCCGAUUAGCGUGCGCAACCGCAGAUCCGUUUUUGCAUUUGCCACACACGAGCGAGCAAUGAGCAACGCAAAUAAACGCUGAUUAGCGCCGUCCGUAAGAUCUCCUUGGUAGAUUCUUGUCCCGUAUUGUGGAGCGCAGAUCUAAUUAGCGUCAACGCGGACGGACGCAAAUGCGACUCCUCACGUCAUCCCCGCAGCGUCGUUGCCCGCGUCCCAAACUAAAUGUGCUGGAAUUAUGAUUCUCCUUCUUUUCUAGCAAUUAUUCUUGUCCUAGUUUUGCUCCGGAGAGGAUCAAAUGCGGCGAGGAAGAGACGCAGCACAAACACGUUGAAGUGACGUCGUAUCUCAACGGGGCCUCCAGUCCCCGAGCGGGGUUGCGUCAGGGAGGCCUAAAUCCGCCGUCAAAACUGUCAGACAAGCCGAAAGAAGAAACACGGUAAAGUACUUACAGCCGACUUAAUCUCCAGAUGCCGAGCGGCUCCUUGGGCCAACGAGGUUAAUGCACCCGGGGAGGAAGAGAAGCAACCAGCUGUUGGCCUUCUAAUGUUUAAAACCUCCCUCCGUCCCUCCGUCCCUCCAUCCCUCCAUCCCUAUUCUAUUCUUUCCGUCUCCCUCCAUCAAAGAAAGAAAAGCCCGCGCGGGAAAAUGCGCUCAAGCGGCGAAACAUCUGCCGCCGGCGUUUCGCUGCGUCUUAACUCCUCCGGAGCGACAACAUGAGGCCGUUUUCAGGGCGCGGGCGACGGG